CCUACGGGAGGCAGCAGUGGGGAAUCUUAGACAAUGGGCGCAAGCCUGAUCUAGCCAUGCCGCGUGAGUGACGAAGGCCCUAGGGUCGUAAAGCUCUUUCGCCUGUGAUGAUAAUGACAGUAGCAGGUAAAGAAACCCCGGCUAACUCCGUGCCAGCAGCCGCGGUAAUACGGAGGGGGUUAGCGUUGUUCGGAAUUACUGGGCGUAAAGCGCACGUAGGCGGAUCAGAAAGUUGGGGGUGAAAUCCCGGGGCUCAACCCCGGAACUGCCUCCAAAACUUCUGGUCUGGAGUUCGAGAGAGGUGAGUGGAAUUCCGAGUGUAGAGGUGAAAUUCGUAGAUAUUCGGAGGAACACCAGUGGCGAAGGCGGCUCACUGGCUCGAUACUGACGCUGAGGUGCGAAAGUGUGGGGAGCAAACAGGAUUAGAUACCCUGGUAGUCCACACCGUAAACGAUGAAUGCCAGUCGUCGGCGCGCAUGCGUGUCGGUGACACACCUAACGGAUUAAGCAUUCCGCCUGGGGAGUACGGUCGCAAGAUUAAAACUCAAAGGAAUGAC
rnacentral:rRNA from 1 species